ACGACGGAAACUGCGAACGGCUCAUUAAAUCAGUUGCGAUCUACUCGGCGUUCCGCGCCGCCGGAUAACCGUAGUAAUUCUAGGGCUAAUACGUGCGAAGCGCCCGAAGCCGCGAGGCGACGGGCGUUCUCGCCGGAUGUAGGAACCGACCCGGGGACCGCCGGGGCAACCCUGCGCCCCCGAGACGGGGCGAACCACGGUGAAAUGACGGAUCGUCGGCCCCGCGCCGGCGACUCGCCGAAUGAGUUUCUGACCUAUCAACUCGAGACGGCGGGGUAGAGGCCCGCCGCGGUAACGACGGGUAACGGGGAAUCAGGGUUCGAUUCCGGAGAGGGAGCCCCGAGAAACGGCUACCACUUCCAAGGAAGGCAGCAGGCGCGCAACUUACCCUAAUCUCGAUUCGAGGAGGUAGUGACAAGAAAUACCGAUGCGGGACCCUACGGGUGCCGCGUUCGGAAUGAGUACGAUUCGAACCACCUAACGAGGAACGAUCGGAGGGCAAGUCUGGUGCCAGCAGCCGCGGUAAUUCCAGCUCCAAUAGCGUACGUUAAAGUUGCUGC
rnacentral:rRNA from 1 species